rnacentral:rRNA from 1 species
CGAGUGGCGGACGGGUGAGUAACGCGUAGGGAUCUAUCCUUGGGUGGGGGACAACCGUGGGAAACUACGGCUAAUACCGCAUGAUAACUGAGGUUCAAAGCUCGCGAGAGCGCCUGGGGAGGAGCCUGCGUACGAUUAGCUAGUUGGUGGGGUAAAGGCCUACCAAGGCGACGAUCGUUAGCUGGUCUGAGAGGAUGAUCAGCCACAUUGGGACUGAGACACGGCCCAA